UGGGGCGUCGCCAAGCGGUAAGGCACUGGGUUUUGAUCCCAGCACUUCCCAGGUUCGAAUCCUGGCGCCCCAGCC
rnacentral:tRNA from 1 species